rnacentral:misc_RNA from 1 species
UUUCCGUAGGUGAACCUGCGGAAGGAUCAUUAUUGAAUGAAACACUUCUGGCUUUAUGCUGUUGUGCUGGCCCUUUGGGCAAUGUGCACACGGCUCUGGUCACUUAUUUCUUCUGUUCCACCUGUGCACUGCCUGUAGACACGCUGUGUCUAUGAUAUUUGUUAACACACAACAAUGUUAGUUGGCAUGUUAUAUAUAAUAAUAAAAUAUACAACUUUCAACAACGGAUCUCUUGGCUCUC